ensembl:snoRNA
AUCCUUUUGGAAGUCAUAAGUGUGAUUGGGUUUUCAUGCCCUUGUGUGAAACGUGUCUCCCUCAAACCUUGUUACAAAGUGGGCACACUACCUGCCUGACA